CAAAGGACCAGUCUCUAAAUGCCUCCCCUCCUUCUCUCCCACAUCCCUCUGUCUCUCUUCAGACCAUGUCAAAGGACCAGUCUCUAAAUGCCUCCCCUCCUUCUCUCUCUUCACAUCUCUCCGUUUCUCUUCAGACCCAUGUCUAAGGACCAGUCUCUAAAUGCCUCCCCUCCUUCUCUCUCUUCACAUCUCUCCGUCUCUCUUCAGACCAUGUCUAAGGACCAGUGUGACUCUGUAGCAGUGAGCGUCGAGUCCCUCUUAACAGACGCAGUUAAGAUGCAGUCCCAGUGUCGGGAGCGCAGUGAGCAGCUAGCUGUGGCCGCCGCCGCACUGCGGGAGGAGUCGGCGUGCUUGAGAGAACAGUGUCAAGCCACCCAGCUGGAUAUGGCCCGGAUGAGAAGGCAGCUGGAAGAACUGCUGGAUACCAAAGCUCAGAUGGAGGCCAGUGAUAGGAUGCACCGCAAACUCAGCAGGACACUUUAA
rnacentral:lncRNA from 1 species